rnacentral:tRNA from 1 species
GCUCGUAUAGUGUAGGUGGUUAUCAUUGGUCGUUGUGGUUUGGCAACAAUCUCCCUCAUCUGACCCGACCGCUGUUCGACUCAGCGUGCGAGCA